GAUGAACGCUGGCGGCGUGCUUAACACAUGCAAGUCGAACGGGAUCCAAGGGGUGCUUGCCCUUUUUGGUGAGAGUGGCGAACGGGUGAGUAACACGUGAGUAACCUGUCCUUUUCUUUGGGAUAAGCAUUCGAAAGGGUGUUUAAUACCUUAUGUUCUGUCUGCCUCGCAUGGGGUGGGUGGGAAAGGCUUUGGCCGGAUUUGGGUGGGCUCGCGGUCUAUCAGCUUGUUGGUGGGGUGAUGGCUUACCAAGGCUUUGACGGGUAGCCGGCCUGAGAGGGUGGUCAGUCACAUUGGGACUGAGAUACGGCCCAGACUCCUGCGGGAGGCAGCAGUGGGGGAAAUUGCACAAUGGGCGAAAGCCUGAUGCAGCGACGCCGCGUGGGGGAUGAAGGCCUUCGGGUUGUAAACUUCUUUUGCUCUGAACAAGGCAUGCCAGUGGGUGUGUUGAGUGUAGGGGUUGAUUAGCGCCGGCUAACUACGUG
rnacentral:rRNA from 1 species